UACAGAGGGGGCAAGCGUUAUUCGGAAUUAUUGGGCGUAAAGGGCGCGUAGGCGGCCUUGCAAGUGGCGGGUGAAAUCCCUCGGCUUAACCGAGGAACUGCCUGCCAGACUGCAAGGCUCGAGACCGGGAGAGGUGAGUGGAAUUCCCAGUGUAGCGGUGAAAUGCUUAGAUAUGACAUAGAACACCGAUAGCGAAGGCAGCUUACUGGGCUGUAACUGACGCUGAUGCACGAAAGUGUGGGGAUCAAACAGG
rnacentral:rRNA from 1 species